rnacentral:rRNA from 1 species
GACGAACGCUGGCGGCGUGCUUAAAACAUGCAAGUCGAACGGACUUCUCAUGAAGCUUGCAAUUGAGAAGUUAGUGGCGGACGGGUGAGUAACGCGUGGGCAACCUGCCCCUGAGCCCGGGAUAACAGUUCGAAAGGACUGCUAAGACCGGAUAUACUUGCGGGGAAGCAUUUCUCUGUAAGGAAAGGGAACGCUCAGGGAUGGGCCCGCGUCCCAUUAGCUAGUUGGUGAGGUAACGGCCCACCAAGGCGACGAUGGGUAGCCGGCCUGAGAGGGUGAACGGCCACACUGGGACUGAGACACGGCCCAGACUCCUACGGGAGGCAGCAGUUGGGAAUCUUCGGCAAUGGGCGCAAGCCUGACCGAGCAACGCCGCGUGAGUGAUGAAGGUUUUCGGAUUGUAAAGCUCUGUCUUCCGGGACGAUAAAUGACGGUACCGGAGGAGGAAGCCACGGCUAACUACGUG